GGCAAGAGCAUGUCUGCCUCAGCGUCGGUUUAUACCCUCAUCCCUCCCAUUUAGUGGGUCGGUUAACUCAAUGUCAGUUAGCCAUAGGGGUGGAUCUGGCCUCCCCAAUUGGUUUGAUUACGAAUUGGGUUGGUUGAAGCACAGAGGCUUAAACAAGGACCCAAUAUGGGCUUCAACUGGAUAGGUAGUUACGGCUUUUGCCGCCUACACGAAGUUGUAGCUUGUGGACUUUGUUAGGGGCCAAGCAGGAAACAUGCUUGAUUGCAUGCCUAAACUUUCGACCUGAGCUCAGGCAAGGCUACCCGCUGAACUUAAGC
rnacentral:misc_RNA from 1 species